rnacentral:rRNA from 1 species
UAAUACGUAGGUGGCGAGCGUUGUCCGGAUUUAUUGGGUUUAAAGGGUGCGUAGGCGGUCCUAUAAGUCAGUGGUGAAAUAUCGCAGCUUAACUGUGAGGGUGCCAUUGAUACUGUAGGACUUGAGUGAAUUUGAGGUAGGCGGAAUUGACGGUGUAGCGGUGAAAUGCUUAGAUAUCGUCAAGAACACCGAUAGUGAAGACAGCUUACCAAGCUUCAACUGACGCUGAGGCACGAAAGUGUGGGGAUCAAACAGGAUUAGAUACCCUGGUAGUCCACACUGUAAACGUUGAUUACUCGCUGUUGGCGAUACACAGCCAGCGGCUAAGCGCAAGCGAUAAGUAAUCCACCUGGGGAGUACGCCGGCAACGGUG